rnacentral:rRNA from 1 species
UACGGAGGGGGCGAGCGUUAUUCGGAAUUAUUGGGCGUAAAGGGCGCGUAGGCGGCUUGAUAAGUCAAAGGUGAAAUCCCUCGGCUCAACUGAGGAACUGCCUUUGAAACUGUCAGACUUGAGGCCGGGAGGGGGUAGCGGAAUUCCCAGUGUAGCGGUGAAAUGCGUAGAUACUGGGAGGAACACCGGUGGCGAAGGCGGCAUCCUGGACCGGCAUUGACGCUGAGGCGCGAAAGCUAGGGGAGCAAACGGG